rnacentral:lncRNA from 1 species
AGGUGCCUAUGUUACCGAGCAGGUGACGCAACCAAGGUCAAGGAGGAGCUCGAUGAAGAUCUUGCCCUUUGUGUUGUUUCGUUCUAGUUGAUCAGUAGUGGAGCCCAGUUGGGGUCGAUCGGGGACCUUUGUCGCAUUUGGGGUUCUUCUUUAUUUUGGUUCCGUAGUCGGACCUUGAUUGUAUCUGGAUGAUGUAAUGCUUUAUUCAUGUAAUUGUGUGAAGUGGCGAUUGUAAGCCAACUAUGUAUCUCUUUCCCUUAUGUAUUACAUGGGUUGUGUGAAGAUUACCUCACUUGCGACAUUGCUUUCAAUGCGGUUAUGCCUCUAAGUCGUGCUUCGACACGUGGGAGAUAUAGCCGCAUCGAGGGCGUUACAAGUUGGUAAUCAGAGCCUUCCCCGACCUUAGGAGCCCCACUGCUUGAUCGUUUUUAGCGGCCGAGUUGUGUCUAGAAAAAUGUUUUGAGUCAUUUAGGAUUAUAUAUAUCGGAGAGUUAGGAAUUCUUUUUACUCCCCAGUCUCUUCAUCGCUCUGGUAAGGCAUCCUGACGUAGAGUUUUGACUCUUCUCUUCUCAAAUUUCACUAAUUUUUUUUUAGGAUCACGCGGGUAUCUUGGAAUCGUUCCGAUGGUUUUAUGAUGAGAACAUUGUCUUGGUGCCUCCUGUCAGGGGUUUAGUGGAAGUGUCCCGGGGAGUUGAGCUCUGAGGUGUUGUCGUCAUAAUUUUAUCGUUGCAGUUCUGGAAUACCUGAGUUUAGUACGCCGACAUCGAAAAUCUCUUUUAUGCAGUUGUUGGUGAGAUAACCCCGAUAACCCAGUACUGAGGUGAGUACGGGAGUAUUGCCAUGACUCGUAUAACGGAUGCUUUUCGAAGGUUGAGGUAGAUGAUUUCCGAAGGUUUCUUGGUUAUGUGUUGAAGGAUGGAUACAGCUGGAUGUAGGAUUUGUUAGUUUUGGGUGAGAUAUUAUGCUUCCCCUGUAUCCCCGACACCUGAUUGCAUAACCGGAAAAUUUCGGGAGUUUCAUAGGUGGGAAUUCAAGUAGCUCUUAGGAUAUCUUUCUGACGGAUGUAUGAUAUGAAAUUGGGGUUCGACGUCUAGUGGUCCGCCUAUUCACGGUUGGUUUUACAGUGGUCUCGUUGUGUCUUAAAGAGUCCUUGGCUAUGCCGACUCGGGGACGCUUCGUAUGUCAUGUGCACUGCCUUGUACAUGAUGGUGCUGUACACUCGAGCCCGUGUAGGCCCCACCACGAAAACUUCGGACGAAAUCUCUAUCAUAUGUUUGUUCUGGCUUAUUUUGCAAGCCAAUCCUUUGUUUUGUUUUGAGUUGUGGUAUUCGAGUUGCUUCGAAGUCAAAUGUUGAUUCCAUACCUUUUCCAAAUGGUGUUCUCAUAUUCCUAUGUGAAUACUAAUCCUUCUUGAUCAUCGAGUCUGUCUUGUCAAUCCUUUUUUUUAACCGGUGUGUCUCUCCUCAAGUGGAUCCGUUCACGUCAACAUUUGCAAGAUCAUUUAUCACUUCUUCUCAACGGUGUUUGUUUCAUCCGUCUCCAAGUUGUCUUUGUUUUUCCCACCCUCCCUCCCUUUUGUUUUCUUCAAGGACUAAGAUUUCUUCUUCAAGUAUCCAUUUUAUUGAUGGGAAGUUUCUCCAUUCUUUUCCGUCAAUGUUCUUAUCCGGUGAUUCUCAUGAAGAUUCUAAUGGAGCUUCAAGUUCGUCAUUCCUCGUUCUUUUCUUCUCCGGUGGAUUUAAUUCAAGCUUUGGUAUUAAGCAUACUCCUUUUCUUUUUUUUCCAAUGCUUUUCUUAUGCCGGUGCACCUCUUAAUCAUCCAUCUCUCGCUAUUAAAUUGUUCCGGAGUGCUCAAGAUAUCUCGAAGAUUCGUGUUUCCACUCUGCAUUCGUUCAAGCUCUUUCGAGAUUGGUAUCUCAUUCAAGUCAUUUAAUUCAACCGGUGCAACAUCUCUUUUAAAUCUUUUCAACGGUGUUCUUUUGAGUGGGCCCUAACCACAGGUCUUUUCCCAGGAUCUUACCUGACUCUUCUAUUUUCCCAGAGCUAUCCUAAAUUCUUCUCCAAGUUUGACGUAAGAAUGAGUUAUCAUUAGUCAAAUGCUUUUCUCCAAGAUCUUUCAAAUUCUUUUCAUAGUUGGCUCAACCUCUUCGCUUUUGAUUCUUCCGGUGUGCCUCAAUAAUUCUUGGUGGUGUUUCUUGUUGUCAUUCUCAUCAUUUGAAGACCGAAGAAGAGUUUCUCUUUAAUCUUGCUCUAUUCUCUUCAAGAUUCAUGGUGCUAGCUUGUUGCCAUCCUCUCAUAAUUGUUUUCGAUUGUGAGAAUCUUUUUCACCCAUCAGGAGAUAUUCAAGAGUCUUCUCAGUUUGUCAUCCGGAGUCCAUCAAUUCAGGUUUAUUCAUUCUCAGCCGUUAGUUAUCAUUCUCCUAUCUUGCCGGUGCAUCUAUCGAAUAUCCUCUAAUCAGUUCUUGAUCUCUUUGUUCUCAUGUAUCUAGUUUGUCUCAAGCACCUUCGUUCAUUUGCUAAUUCUUACCGGUGAUGCACCCCUACUUCAAUCAUUUUCAAUUCUUACGGUGGUUCUUUCAAGAUCUCUCUUCCUUGUUCAUCAUAUCAAUUCAUUUGUUGUCCCAAUCCUACCGGUGGUUCGUUGAAGACCUUCUCAAGUUUACGCUAUAUCUCUUUUAAUCCUUUCUACGAGAAUAAGUAGUAUGCCAAAUCCGUUGAUUCUCGUCAAUUUAAUUGGUGAAGGAUAAGCAUAACAUAAUUCUUAUUCUUGUUCAUCCAAGUGAUUAAUUCUUUAUUCCGGAGGCCCUUAAAAUUCUCGGUUUCAUUUGUUUCAUCUUCUCUUUUUCCCGGAGUUCCGAGCUCUAAUUAUCACGGAGAUCCAUCUAAAUCAUUGCAAGGAUUCACCUUGUGUUUUCAAUUUCUCUUUCUUUUCAUUCCUUUUGUUUACCGGAGUUCUUCAUGGAGGUUCUACAUGAUGGUUCAUCAAGGAUUUAAUUCCCUUCUCAAAGUUUUCAGCGAGAUUCUUUCGUAAGGAGCUCAAGCUUUCUUCAUAUGGUAAUCCGGAGUGCAAUUCUUUCUACCAUAUUUUGGAGGUGGUAUUAUGUCAUUCUUGAUAAUUUGAGUUCAUGUUCCAUGAUUCACAUGUUGUUAAGAAUGAGAUAUUUUAAAUCCAUCAAUCUCUUCUUUGGAGUUAUCUUGAGUUAUAUUUCACCUAAAGCCUUCCCUAAGGAUUGUUGCCAUUUAUGGUGCUUGUAAAUGAUCCAAGUACUUCAUUUAUCCUCCCGGUGAAAUAAGUUUCUCGUCUCCUCGUUCAUAUCAAUCCAAUUCUUCUUCCCGUGAGUGGCAGGUUGUCAUCUCAUAAUUUGAGAUGUAUUUCAUAAGACCAUAUCAAGAUUAUUCUUUUCGUUGUUGGUUUUCAACAACUCCAUUCUAGCAUUUGUUGUAUCUGUGAUCUCUCAACAUCUUGUUUCCCUUCGUUCCGGAGUCAUUGCGAUGUUGCUCUUUUCAACCCAUCAUCUCGUUUGUCAAAGAUCAUGUUCUUUUCGUGCUUAUCCAUUUAACCAGAGUGUCGUGUCCUCUGCUCAAGUUCUUUUCAUCUUAUCUAGGCUUGUAUCACUUUUCAAUCGGAGUGCUGUUCGAAUUUGGUCUUCCUUGGUCCCCUUCCUUAACCGGCGUGUUUUCAAUAUAUAUCUUCCCUUCAACCUCAAGGUUUCGCAAUGCUCUUUGUCCCUAGUUUCUAACGGAGUGUUUUCGACUUUGUUCUCCUUCGUUCUAUUCUUUUCUUGAAUUUGUUCAACCUCUCAAGGUUCUUUGGUUUCACUCAUUGGUCAAAGAAGCAACUUAGUUUUACCUCUUCUCUUCCUCUUCCAUUUCUCUCCGGUGCCAUUCUAGAUCUCGGGACGAGAUCCUCUCGUAGUGGUGGAGUGUUGUAACGCCCCGAGACCGACGCUCCAGAAGACUUCCAGCUAUUCCGAGUUUCGUCGUGUGAUUUGUUUUAUUUGUUGCAUUCAUCCUUGCAUCAUGUGCAUUGCAUCAUGUCAUCAUGCCAUCAUAUCAUUAAUUUUUUUAAACCUCAACUAAAUAAAUUGUAUGGAUUUUUCGAUCCAUUUAAACCGAGGGAACUCACAUGGUGACUUCUCUUUAUAACAUAUCCUCCAAUAUUAGGGAGCUAUAUUAAAUGUUCCAUUCUUUUGGAAUUAACCAAAACACACUUGAAAAAUCCCCACUCCCUUUAUACUUCAAGUUUGGUCCCCAAACUUUGCCAACAUUUCUUUUCCCAUUUAUCGAGGCUCCUCCUAAAUUCUCAACAUUUUUGGACUCUUCUAAAUCCUAGUCCUAGUUCAAACCUAUUGAAUUAAAUUCAAAUGAUUUUGAAUUUAAUCUUUCGAUCAUGCCCACUUCUAUUUUUCCUGGAUCGAGCUCAUUUUUGUGAGUCCGGGAAUAUUGUCUCCAUGCGCAAAUCUUCCCCCUAACCUCUCUUUCCUUUCUUUCUUUUCUCUGUACUGUUUUUUAUUCAUUAAGAGAGAGAGAGAGAGAGAGGUAAGCCCAGUCGGCCUCCUGCAGCCCAGCUAGGCCCUUUGUCAGCCCACCAGGCCUCUGCCAUUUUUUUUCUCUCCACUGGGCCGGCCUCCCAGGCCCAGCCGCGCCCCCCUCUAACCCUAGCCCGACUCCCUCCUGUCGAUCUCUCCCUGUGCGCCGCACACCCCCGCAUCGCCCGAUCCUCUCGCUCCCGCACCCAUCGCAUCGAGCCACCCAGUGCCCGAUCCCCUCUCCUCGAUCUUCCCCUUCCUCUCCGGUGCGCCUCCACCUCUCCCUUCCUUCUCCCUCCACCGGCGCCAGCCGCCCUGUCGCCCGAGCGCUCAAGGAGAGCAGCUCCUCGAGCCUCGUCGCUGCUGCUUCCUCCCUCUGCCGCCAGAGAGGAGCGAGAGCCUCUCACUCGAGCCGCGCCGCCGGCCAAGUCCCUCGACCCACCGACCAGAGCCGCCUCCUCCCUCACCUGCGGCCUCCUCCUCGUCGCCUCCGCGCCACCAGCCAGGCUCCCGAGCCGCGGCCGCCGCCCGGAUCCAGCGCCCCCGCGACCGCCGCGGUGCCCUGCGUCGCCGGAGUCCUGCGCCAAGACAUCCCCCGCCUCGGUUUCGGUCCUCCCCGCGCCGAGUCCCUCUGCUGCCCCCUGCUUUGUGCCUUCUGUCGUCGUCCCCGAGCUCGGCCAACUCCAGCGGCCCCGGCGCCCGCGCCAAGCUUGCCGCCUCGCCAUCUGGUUCCGCCUCAGCCAUCCCGGAGCGCCACCGUCCGGCUCCCGUCGCCCCUUUGCAGGAGCAGCCCCAUGCCCCGCCUCUGCCUUGUUCGAGCAGGGAGGAGGAUGCGCCUCCGCUCGCCCUCAUCGACCAGGAACGCCAAGGCCAAGACCAGCCCCGGGCAGGACCUCGUGUUCAUCUACAUCGCCAAGACCCUAGGCCUUUUGGUGUUGCUCUGUUUUGGAACACCAAGUACCUCGACGCCGAAGACCCGUGUACAACUACUGUUUCCUGCCUAGAACGACUACCGUCGACGUGCAUUUCGCCAAGUACCACUACCGACGAGCCCCGAAGGACUUGGUUGCGACAAGUUCCUCUCCAAACGUGAACGUCUACUUCCACGACUGCUACAAGAACAACUACUUCCACGACGUCCGUGAACCACUACCGUCGCCCCGAAGAUGUUGGAUUCGUCAAGUACCUCUCCGAAAAACGAACGUGUACCACUACUUCCACGACGCCCGUGAACGUCUACCUCCACGACGACCCGUGAACGUCUACGAGAUGUACCACUACCGUCGACCCGUGAACGUCUACUUCCCUCUACGAACUCGAUCCGCCCGAAACGCACGCUUCGAAGGUAUAACACCGAGACGAUGUUCGUGGACCGAAUGCUUUGUUGUAUGAGAUGCUUAUGUUUGCACCGUGUCCAAAAUUGUCGCGUGCAUGUUUCACCUCGUUGCCAUGCCACCAUCUUGUGGGAACCCGGUAUCCGGGAUCACCCCACCUUCUAUCGCAUGUCACGCUCUCGUCACUUUUCCUUUUGCACCGGUAUCUCCAUGAGCUAUCGGGACCGGAAUGUUGCCGUGGCAUCAUUUUUGUUUCGCCGCCGUGGCACCCUUUUUGUUCCGCCAUGGUGACCUAAUGCUUCAUAACAUGCUCAUGUCAACAUUUUCAUAAAAUUGCAUAAAACUUGUAUAUGUCAUCCGCAUCAUGAUAACAACAUUUAAAAAUGUUUAAACUUGUUGUUGCAUCAAAUUGCUAAAUGAUAUGGGGAUUCUCCGGAAUUGUUGUUUGUUGCUUCCGGCCUCAUUUAACCUUGACUAGAUAGGUAGUUUUCAUUUGCUUCACCCUCUUCCCAUGCUUAACAACAUUUAAUAUUGUUGGGUACAUAAACGGGAUCAAACUAAAUAACUUAUCGUGGUGUUUCGUCAAUAUGCAGUUGCAUAUUGAGCUCCAUUUAACUUGUAGUAUUGUUUGUUGCACUUUGCCAUGCCAUGCCUCAUUAAACCGGACAUGCAUCAUACUUGUUUGUGCAUCAUGACUUGUUUAUGCUUGUGUGUUUACUAUGUUGUUUGUUUCUUUCCGGGUUGCUUCUCUCGUUAGCUUCGGUUUCGUUCCGGAGUUGUGAGGAUUUGUUCAUCUACGGCCGUUUGUCUUCUUCUUGGAUUCGUUCUUCUUCCUUGCGGGAUCUCAGGCAAGAUGAUCAUACCCUCGAAAUCACUACUAUCUUUGCUAUGCUAGUUUGCUCGCUCUUUUGCUAUGCCAAUGCUACGAUGCCUACCAUUUGCUUGUCAGCCUCCCAAAUUGCCAUGUCAAACCUCUAACCCACCAUGUCCUAGCAAACCGUUGUUUGGCUAUGUUACCGCUUUGCUUAGCCCCUCUUAUAGCGUUGUUAGUUGCAGGUGAAGAUCGAAGUUUGUUCCUUGUUGGAACAUGGAAAUGUUGUUCCUUGUUGGAACAUGUUUACUUGUUGGGAUAUCACAAUAUAUCUUACUUAAUUAAUGCAUCUAUAUACUUGGUAAAGGGUGGAAGGCUCGGCCUUAUGCCUGGUGUUUUGUUCCACUCUUGCCGCCCUAGUUUCCGUCAUAUCGGUGUUAUGUUCCCGGAUUUUGCGUUCCUUACACGGUUGGGCUAUAAUGGGAACCCCUUGACAGUUCGCCUUAAGUAAAGCUCUUCCAGCAAUGCCCAACAUUGGUUUUACCAUUUGCACUAACAACCUACCACCUUCCCUUGGGUUCUGCAGACUCAAGGGUCAUCUUUAUUCUAACCCCCCCGGGCCAGUGCUCCUCUGAGUGUUGGUCCGAACUAGAGCCCUGUGCAGCGCCCCCUCGGGGAAACUCGAGGUUUGGUUUUAGUUGUACGGAUUGCUCAUCUGAGUGUGCCCUGAGAAAGAGAUAUGUGCAGCUCCUAUCGGGAUUUGUCGGCACAUUCGGGCGGUGUUGCUGGUUUAGUUUUACCCUGUCGAAAUGUCUUGUUGUACCGGGAUACCGAGUCUGAUCGGAACGUCUCAGGUGGAGGUCUAUUCCUUUGUUGACCGUGAGAGCUUGUGAUGGGCUAAGUUGGGACACCCCUGCAGGGUAUUAUCUUUCGAAAGCCGUGCCCGCGGUUAUGUGGCAGAUGGGAAUUUGUUAACGUCCGGUUGUAGAAAACCCGAAGUUGACCUUAAUUAAAAUACAUCAACCGUGUGUGUAACCGUGAUGGUCUCUUUCCGGCGGAGUCCGGGAAGUGAACACGGUGUUGGAGUUAUGCUUGACGUAGGUUGCUAUAGGAUCACUUCUUGAUCAUACUUUUAUCGACCGUGCUUUGCCCUCUCUUCUCGCUCUCUUUUGCGAUUGUAGCCACCAUAUAUGCUAGUCGCUUGCUGCAGCUCCACCUCAUUACUCCAUCCUUCCUAUAAGCUUAAAUAGUCUUGAUCUCGCGGGUGCGAGAUUGCUGAGUCCCCAUGGCUCACAGAUACUUCCAAAACCAGUUUGCAGGUGCCUAUGUUACCGUGCAGAUGACGCAACCAAGCUCAAGGAGGAGCUCGAUGAAGAUCUUGCCCUUUGUGUUGUUUCGUUCUAGUUGAUCAGUAGUGGAGCCCAGUUGGGGUCGAUCGGGGACCUUUGUCGCAUUUGGGGUUCUUCUUUUAUUUUGGUUCCGUAGUCGGACCUUGAUUGUAUCUGGAUGAUGUAAUGCUUUAUUCAUGUAAUUGUGUGAAG